rnacentral:rRNA from 1 species
GACGAACCGUGCGAACGUUGUUCGGAAUCACUGGGCUUAAAGGGCGCGUAGGUGGCUUGUCAAGUCAGGGGUGAAAUCCUGCAGCUUAACUGUAGAAGUGCCUUUGAUACUGACGAGCUCGAGGGAGGUAGGGGUCGCUGGAACUUCUGGUGGAGCGGUGAAAUGCGUUGAUAUCAGAAGGAACGCCGGUGGCGAAAGCGAGCGACUGGAUCUCUACUGACGCUGAGGCGCGAAAGCUAGGGGAGCAAACGGG